UUUAAGGUCUAACCUGCCCAAUGAGGAUUUAAAUGGCCGCAGUAUUUUGACUGUGCAAAGGUAGCAUAAUUAUUAGUUUUUUAAUUGAAAGCUUGUAUGAAGGGUUGGACGAGAUAAAAUCUGUCUUUAUUUAAAUUAAAGUAUAAUUUAACUUUUAAGUCAAAAGGCUUAAAUGUUUAUAAAAGACGAGAAGACCCUAUAGAUCUUUAUUUAGUUAAGAUUUUAAUAAUUUAGGAUUAUUUUAAUUUGGAGUCUUAAUUGAAUUUUAUUGGGGUAAUAUAAAGAUUAAAUGAAUUCUUUUUAUUUAUGACAUUAAUUUAUGAAUAUAUGAUCCAUUAAUAUUGAUUAUAAGAUUAAGUUACCUUAGGGAUAACAGCGUAAUUUUUUUGGAGAGCUCAUAUCGAUAAGAAAGUUUGCGACCUCGAUGUUGGAUUAAAAAUUAGCUUGGGUGCAGAAGCUCAAGAUUUUGGUCUGUUCGACCAUUAAAUUUUUACAUGAUCUGAGUUCAGACCGGCGCAAGCCAGGUCGGUUUCUAUCUUUAUUCAGAUAAAAUAUUUUAGUACGAAAGGACCAAGUAUUUAAUAUAAUUAUAUUUAUUUUUU
rnacentral:rRNA from 1 species